GUUGGAUACUGAAGGUGGCGCUUGGACACUGUUGCAGGCGCCUGGAUGCGUCGGUGCGCCCGCCUGCCUGACUGCCUGCCCUGCUGUAGAAGGAUACAUUUUAGCAGCUGGUUAAGUUCUUUGUACUGCCUUCACCACUGAUGAUAAAACCAAAUUCGACAGUCUCAACAGUAAAUACUCGACCAACCACUCCAGCAUGCAUUAAACCCCAGAGGGAGACUAUAAACUUUGAGCGUAGCCAACGUGAGCCACGAGGACCGGCGAGGGUACUUUUCUAAAGACGCUGCUGCACAAAGCAACAGGGAUCCACUCUAGCCCAAAGGCGAUGACAUCAUCCUGGAGAAACUGUGGCUUAUGCACUACAACAGAUGUAGAUAACGCUCCAGACACACCUCACUUCCUGAGAGGAGAGUUAUGGCUUCCUGGGAGAGGCACAGCCGUCCCCUGGAGCCCUGAGGAGUUCGACAGCUACCUAUGGAGAGGGCACAUCUCUGACUUGUAGACCUGCUCUGAGGCUUCUCCUCUCACUUUGAGAUCCUCCGUGUACCUGUCAAAGGGUCAAAGGGGUACACUCGCUGCAGACAACAGGGCUGUGUUUGUGUGUCUGGGUGUGUUUGUGUUUGCUUGUGUGUGUAUGUGGAGCCCCCCCCCCUCCUGUGACAGAUGCCAGGCUGUUUAUGUGAGAGGUGUGGGAGUGCUGGGUGGGCAGGUGGGCAAAGACACGCAUGUGUGUUUGUGAGUGCGUGUGCUGAAGGGAAGUGUGUGUUGUUGUUGUGGGUGGGUUUAAGCAGUAGUAUAAUAUGAAAACUCGACUUGUCAGAAUGUGCAGACAUGCGUGUGAAUGCAUUUGCAUACUGCCGGCAUAUGCGUGUGCACAUGUCUCUACCUGUGCACAGAUACACACUCCAUCUAACUGCACAACGAGUCUAAAUGAGAACCUGUUACCAGGCUCCCGUAAACACCCAAAACCCAAAACUGCUGUCACGGAACCAGAUCAUAACAGAUGGGGGGGGGGCUGCUGCUCUGGCAGCCGAGCAAACGAUGAGCUAAUCGUAGCGAAGGAGGUGACCAUAGUUGGUUACAGCUUAUUCAGGAUUAUGACUCAAUCACUGAGGCUUAUGGCACUUAGGUAAUUAUUUAAUCAAAGAGUGGACGUGUCAAUAGAAGUCGACAAGAGAUUAAUUAUAAGUCCGGGAUGGCUUCAACUCAUUGUUUUUACUGGUCGGCUGUCUUGACAGUGGCAGGAGGGAGAGUUGAUGGGCUCGUUGGGAGGGUGAGUGACAGCUCUAGUGGAGCAGGAAUAAUCAGAGUAGUAUAGUUAACACUAACCCCCCCUCUUAGCAUGGAUAGAGAUCAAUACUGUGCUAUCCUUGAUUAAAAUGUUUAAUUAGCUGUAUUAAGGGAGCAAUAUAAAGCUAAGGAGGGGAGAGAAAACAUCCUCUGUGUGUGGAUCAGAGGGUAUAUUAGACAUCGACGGGAGUCACCAGUUAACUGUUACUCUAUAUCUACUGUAGUGCAGCCCACACUUGUGGUUCAGACAGCAGAAAACAGUGUGACGCUAUACAUGCUUCUUUGAAUGUGGGAAAGCGUGUGUGUGCGUGUGUGCUAAGCUCACUGUGACAGCUAUAGGAGAAAAGGCAGGUCUGUGGCAGAAAAAAGGUGUAUGAGUCACUCAGCCUAUCCUUAGUAACCUGCCAUUAUUUAUAGCAGACUGUAGGAGGAUGAAAGGCACUGGAGAAUUCUCUCUUAGUUGUCUGCCAACAGCUUUCGACUAAUAACUGUCAUUCCUAAAUGUACUGGGCUUUCAUGUCGACAGGAGUGACCUGAUGUACAGUAUCUUCACAUCUAAGAGAUUACAGUGAUGAUGUAUGAAAUAGACUGUUCCCAAACUACUACUUAACUUCAGACACAUGACCUGAGGAAAUGGCUAAUUUAAGCAGAAAGUGGUGUCAAAAUGUGUCCUAGAAUUUGUUACUGUUUGAAUUUCUUUGUUGAUAUAUAUAAGUUUAAGUAAUUAAAUGAUGA